rnacentral:rRNA from 1 species
AAAUUUGUUUAAUUUAAGUCAAACUUCCAAGAAAAGCUCUUAUUACUGUUAAAUUAAAAUAACCUGUACCCUAAACUGACACAAGUAGGUAGGUAGAGAAUACUAAGGGGCGCGAGAUAACUCUCUCUAAGGAACUCGGCAAAAUGGCCCCGUAACUUCGGGAGGAGGGGUGGUGUUAUUUUCUAAAUAACUCCCGCAGUGACCAGGCCCAGGCGACUGUUUAUCAAAAACACAGGUCUCCGCAAAGUCGUAAGACAAUGUAUGGGGGCUGACGUCUGCCCAGUGCCGGAAGGUAAAAGAAGUUGGUUAUUCUUUAGAAAAAGCUGACGACUGAAGCCCCGGUGAACGGCGGCUGUAACACUGACAGUCCUAAGGUAGCGAAAUUCCUUGUCGAGUAAGUUUCGACCCGCACGAAAGACGUAACGAUCUGGGCACUGUCUCGGAGAGAGACUCGGUGAAAUAGAAAUGUCUGUGAAGAUGCGGACUACUUAUACCAGGACAGAAAGACCCUAUGAAGCUUGACUGUAAUUUGGAAUUGAGUUCGGGCUUUCUUUGCGCAGUCUAGGUGGGAGGCAUUGAUGUAAAAUUUUUGGAUUUUAUGGAGCCAAAAUUGAGAGACCACCCUAAAAAGGCUAGAAUUCUAAUAGGACUCCUUGAAUCAGGAUCCUUGACAGUUUCAGAUGGACAGUUUGACUGGGGCGGUGAUCUCCUAAAAGGUAACGGAGAUGUGCAAAGGUUCUCUCAGGCUGGACGGAAAUCAGCUAUAGAGUGUAAAGGUAGAAGAGAGCUUGACUGCAAGACCAACAAGUCGAGCAGGGGCGAAAGCCGGCCUUAGUGAUCCGACGGUUCCGAGUGGAAGGGCCGUCGCUCAACGGAUAAAAGUUACUCUAAGGAUAACAGGCUGAUCUCCCCCAAGAGUUCACAUCGACGGGGAGGUUUGGCACCUCGAUGUCGGCUCAUCGCAACCUGGGGCUGGAGUCGGUCCCAAGGGUUGGGCUGUUCGCCCAUGAAAGCGGUACGUGAGCUGGGUUCAGAACGUCGUGAGACAGUUCGGUCCAUAUCCGGUAUAAGCGUAAGAGCAUUGAGAGGAUCUCAACAUUGUACGAGAGGACCCGAAGGGACGUACCUAUGGUGUACCAGUUCUUAUGCCAAUAGGAAACGCUGGGUAGCUAUGUACGGAGUGGAUAAUCGCUGAAAGCAUUUAAGUGAGAAGCCCACCUCAAGAUGAGUGCUCUCUAUUAGAUUACGGCAAGACAAGCCGGUACAUUGGUAUCAAGUGUAAGAUUAGUAAUAAUUUGAGCUGAGAUAUACAAAC